rnacentral:rRNA from 1 species
AGAGUUUGAUCAUGGCUCAGAACGAACGCUGGCGGCGUGGCUAAGACAUGCAAGUCAAACGGACCAUUAAUUUAUUAGUAGUUAGUGGCGAAAGGGUUAGUAAUGGAUAGGUAACGUACCCCAUGCUUUGGGACAGCGUCGGUUGCUUCGGCAACCUACCGAAAGGGGCGGUAAUACCAAAUAAUAUCAUACAUUGACAGAUGUAUGAUCAAAGAUUUAUCGGCAAGGGAGCGGCCUAUCUCCUAUCAGCUUGUUGGUGAGGUAACGGCUCACCAAGGCUAUGACGGGUAGCGGGACUGAGAGGUUGGCCCGCAACAUCGGGACUGAGACACUGCCCGGACCUCCACGGAGGGCUGCAGUAACGAAUAUUGCGCAAUGGGCGAAAGCCUGACGCAGCGACGCCGCGUGUAGGAGGAAGUCCCUCGGGAUGUAAACUACUGUCAGGGGGAAGAAAGUGUGCUCCGGCACAUUGAUCUAACCCAGAGGAAGUCACGGCUAACUUCGUGCCAGCAGCCGCGGUAAGACGAAGGUGGCAAGCGUUGUUCGGUAUCACUGGGCUUAAAGAGUGUGUAGGCGGAAUGGUAAGCGUUUUGUGAAAUCCCUCGGCUUAACCGAGGAAUUGCUGGACGAACUGCUGUUCUUGAGGCAAGUAGGGGUGCACGGAACUCUUGGUGGAGCGGUGGAAUGCGUAGAUAUCAAGAGGAACGCCGGUGGUGAAAACGGUGCACUGGGCUUGUCCUGACGCUGAGACACGAAAGCGUGGGGAGCGAACGGGAUUAGAUACCCCGGUAGUCCACGCCGUAAACGAUGUCUACUAGGUUGUGGUGGUUCUGACGCCAGCACGGCCGAAGCAAAAGUGCUAAGUAGACCGCCUGGGGGAGUACGGUCGCAAGGCUAAAACUCAAAUGAAUUGACGG